rnacentral:rRNA from 1 species
AGAGUUUGAUCAUGGCUCAGAGUGAACGCUGGCGGCGUGCUUAACACAUGCAAGUCGAACGAGAACGGAGGGUUACCUGUUCGCAGGUAACCCUUGUCAGCUAAGUGGCGCACGGGUGAGUAAUACGUAGCUAACCUGCCCUAUAGCGGGGGACAACAGUUGGAAACGACUGCUAAUACCCUAUACUCCUUCUAUGCAUAAGCAUAGUUGGGAAAGCUUUUGCGCUAUAAGAUGGGGCUGCGGCCUAUCAGCUUGUUGGUGAGGUAACGGCUUACCAAGGCUAUGACGGGUAGCUGGUCUGAGAGGAUGAUCAGCCACACUGGAACUGAGACACGGUCCAGACUCCUACGGGAGGCAGCAGUGGGGAAUAUUGCGCAAUGGGGGAAACCCUGACGCAGCAACGCCGCGUGGAGGAUGAAGCAUUUCGGUGUGUAAACUCCUUUUCUAAGGGAAGAUUAUGACGGUACCUUAGGAAUAAGCACCGGCUAACUCCGUGCCAGCAGCCGCGGUAAUACGGAGGGUGCAAGCGUUACUCGGAAUCACUGGGCGUAAAGAGCGCGUAGGCGGCUUAAUAAGUCGGGUGUGAAAGCCCACAGCUUAACUGUGGAACUGCAUCCGAAACUGUUAAGCUAGAGUUCGGAAGAGGCAGGUGGAACUGGUGGUGUAGGGGGUAAAAUCCGUAGAGAUCACCAAGAAUACCCAUUGCGAAGGCGACCUGCUGGGACGAUACUGACGCUGAGGCGCGAAAGCGUGGGGAGCAAACAGGAUUAGAUACCCUGGUAGUCCACGCCCUAAACGAUGGAUGCUAGUUGUUGGAGUGCUAGUCACUUCAGUAAUGCAGCUAACGCAUUAAGCAUCCCGCCUGGGGAGUACGGCCGCAAGGCUAAAACUCAAAGGAAUAGACGGGGACCCGCACAAGCGGUGGAGCAUGUGGUUUAAUUCGAAGAUACGCGAAGAACCUUACCUGGGCUUGACAUCCCAAGAACCCUCUAGAGAUAGAGGGGUGCCCCUUCGGGGGAGCUUGGUGACAGGUGCUGCACGGCUGUCGUCAGCUCGUGUCGUGAGAUGUUGGGUUAAGUCCCGCAACGAGCGCAACCCUCGUCCUUAGUUGCUAACAGUUCGGCUGAGCACUCUAAGGAGACUGCCCGGGUAACCGGGAGGAAGGUGAGGAUGACGUCAAGUCAUCAUGGCCCUUAUGUCCAGGGCGACACACGUGCUACAAUGGCGCGUACAAAGAGACGCAAUACCGCGAGGUGGAGCAAAUCUCUAAAACGCGUCCCAGUUCGGAUUGUAGUCUGCAACUCGACUGCAUGAAGCUGGAAUCGCUAGUAAUCGCGGAUCAGCCAUGCCGCGGUGAAUACGUUCCCGGGUCUUGUACUCACCGCCCGUCACACCAUGGGAGUUGAGCUCACCCGAAGCCGGGAAGCCAACCACGUAUUUAUUUAUGUGGAGGCUACCGUCCACGGUGGGCUCAGCGACUGGGGUGAAGUCGUAACAAGGUA